GAUGAACGCUGGCGGCGUGCCUAAUACAUGCAAGUCGAGCGAACAGAUAAGGAGCUUGCUCCUUUGACGUUAGCGGCGGACGGGUGAGUAACACGUGGGUAACCUACCUAUAAGACUGGGAUAACUUCGGGAAACCGGAGCUAAUACCGGAUAACAUUUAGAACCGCAUGGUUCUAAAGUGAAAGAUGGUUUUGCUAUCACUUAUAGAUGGACCCGCGCCGUAUUAGCUAGUUGGUAAGGUAACGGCUUACCAAGGCGACGAUACGUAGCCGACCUGAGAGGGUGAUCGGCCACACUGGAACUGAGACACGGUCCAGACUCCUACGGGAGGCAGCAGUAGGGAACCUUCCGCAAUGGGCGAAAGCCUGACGGAGCAACGCCGCGUGAGUGAUGAAGGGUUUCGGCUCGUAAAACUCUGUUAUUAGGGAAGAACAAAUGUGUAAGUAACUGUGCACGUCUUGACGGUACCUAAUCAGAAAGCCACGGCUAACUACGUG
rnacentral:rRNA from 1 species